rnacentral:rRNA from 1 species
GACGAACGCUGGCGGCGUGCUUAACACAUGCAAGUCGAGCGGUAAGGCCCUUCGGGUACACGAGCGGCGAACGGGUGAGUAACACGUGGGUGACCUGCCUUUAGCUCUGGGAUAAGCCUGGGAAACUGGGUCUAAUACCGGAUAUGACCUCAUGAUGCAUGUUGUGGGGUGGAAAGCCUUGUGCGGCUGGAGAUGGGCCCGCGGCCUAUCAGCUUGUUGGUGGGGUGAGGCCUACCAAGGCGACGACGGGUAGCCGGCCUGAGAGGGCGACCGGCCACACUGGGACUGAGACACGGCCCAGACUCCUACGGGAGGCAGCAGUGGGGAAUCUUGCGCAAUGGGCGAAAGCCUGACGCAGCGACGCCGCGUGAGGGAUGACGGCCU